AGGUAAGUAAUACUUGAAAGUGCCAUUAAUUAAUAACUCAGAGCAUGAAAAUUAUUUGAUUAAAAGCUCAAUGAGGCUGGGUGUGGUGGCUCAUGCCUGUAAUCCCAGCACUUUGGGAGGCCAAGGUGGGUGGAUCACGAGGUCAGUAGUUCAAGACCAGCCUGGCCAAGACGGUGAAACCCCAUCUCUACUGAAAAUACAAAAAUUAGUCAGGCGUGGUGGCAGGUGCUUGUAAUCCCAGCUACUCAGGAGACUGAGGCAGGAGAAUUGCUUGAACCUGGGCAGCAGGGGUCGCAGUGAGCCUAGAUCUGGCCACUGCACUCCAGCCUAGGCGAUACAGUGAGACUCUGUCUCAAAAAAAAAAAAAAAAAAAAGCUCAACGAAUUAACUUGUGGAAAAAAAGAAAGACAAUUGCUCUUCUCUCUUCUCCUUUGCCAAUGAACCUGCUCUCACAACUGUUUACUCCAACAUCUAUACUCCUUCACAGUUGCCUUCCUUUCUGUCAUGAGCAAGAAUUGUUCUGGGGAAAUCACUUCUUUAGUUAGUUUAACACACUUCUAUUUCUCUUCAGAUAGAGUGAGUUCUGAGUCAUUUUCACUCUGAGGUGAAUAAUUAGAAAUGCUUUUAUUAGCAAGUAACAGGAACCUGCAUUUAAGCAGUUUCCAAAUCUAAUUAGAAAUGUUGCUUUCAGCUACCUACUCAAACUACAGGUUUAAAUCAAGAAAAUUGUUUUUUUCUAUUAUUUGUAGGGGACCUCUACAAACUAGCUCCUUCCGGAGGUUUUCCAUGUAUAUAUUGGACAGGACACAUAACAAGCUUUACAGAUUUCUGUAUAUUUUAUGUGUAUUUAUAAAUAAUGCUAUCACAUUAAAAUGUUCUAAAAUUAGAUUGCAGUGCUGGUUGCACAACUCUGCACAUAUACUAAAAACUGUUGAGUUGUAUACUUGAAAUGGGUAAAUUUUAUGGUAUGUAAAAUAUAUCUCAAUAAAGAACCUAAAAAAUACUCUCGAGCAAAGAUGACAAUAAAAUGCUACAGUGAUUUGGAAACAUGAUUUAGCAAUGACUAGUAAUGUUGAAGAUGGGCAUAUCUUAUGAAUCUAGCAAUUCUACCUCUGGAUUUGUAUCCCAAAGAAACUCUCUCACAGGUACCCAAAGAAGCACGA
rnacentral:lncRNA from 10 species